GGGUUGUGAGGUUAAGCGACUAAGCGUACACGGUGGAUGCCCUGGCAGUCAGAGGCGAUGAAGGACGUGCUAAUCUGCGAUAAGCGCCGGUAAGGUGAUAUGAACCGUUAUAACCGGCGAUUUCCGAAUGGGGAAACCCAGUGUGAUUCGUCACACUAUCAUUAACUGAAUCCAUAGGUUAAUGAGGCGAACCGGGGGAACUGAAACAUCUAAGUACCCCGAGGAAAAGAAAUCAACCGAGAUUCCCCCAGUAGCGGCGAGCGAACGGGGAGGAGCCCAGAGCCUGAAUCAGCAUGUGUGUUAGUGGAAGCGUCUGGAAAGGCGCGCGAUACAGGGUGACAGCCCCGUACACAAAAGCGCAUGUGCUGUGAGCUCGAUGAGUAGGGCGGGACACGUGGUAUCCUGUCUGAAUAUGGGGGGACCAUCCUCCAAGGCUAAAUACUCCUGACUGACCGAUAGUGAACCAGUACCGUGAGGGAAAGGCGAAAAGAACCCCGGCGAGGGGAGUGAAAAAGAACCUGAAACCGUGUACGUACAAGCAGUGGGAGCACCCUUCGGGGUGUGACUGCGUACCUUUUGUAUAAUGGGUCAGCGACUUAUAUUCUGUAGCAAGGUUAACCGUAUAGGGGAGCCGGAGG
rnacentral:rRNA from 1 species